AGAUUUAUUUAACCCUUGCGCCCGACGGUCCCUCUCCCGGGCCGAGAUUUUGCUGCAUACAUUUAAACGCUGUAAAAAAUGUAUUGAAACUUGACCGCGGUGUUUACUUUCAAUUCUCAAUCAAAGUUUAGACUCUAAUGUUCACAGAACUGGGUCGGAUGUCUGUUUUUAGUGUAAACGUUACCUUUUUAUGACGAUUUUAAUCUGUCUUGGUGUCUCUGUCUGGGCAUUUAAAUUUUGCGACAUCGACCGAAUCAAAGCUUUACAGUGUAGCGGAGACAGGCUCCGUCCGGCCAUGUCUGUAGUCAUUUGAAAGGGGAGAACCUACUGAAUCGAUUGGCAUCAAUCUUUCCAAAGACUACAUUUCCCAGCUUUGAAAAAAGCCGGGCGUAAAGUGUUCGUAAUCUGUGCGCUUUUAGGUGCAGCGCCCCACAGACGAAGGCAGGAUGCUGCAUCGCACACUGAUCACUCGGGGCUCUCCUGUAAACUUUCUACACCACUUAUAAAACUUCUCUUGAGUACUUUUCAACCAGGAAAAGAAACAUUCAACUCUUAGAGGGAUAUGGCGGAAAUUUUAUUAGAAAUUCAGCGGGGCUCAGACGGUGAAUCUGAGGACUCGUCUGACUCAGUAAUGGCGUCGGCUCCGAGGAGGAGGCAUUGUUUACAUCAGAAGUGGACCCAGUUUACUAGUAAGUAUUUGCAUUUAUCUAUAAAGCCGUGUUGUGUAAAUUGAUAUGCAUGGAACACCUUUGUCAUAAAACUGUAAACACCGUAGUAAGUAUGGCAAUCCAAUAGCAUCGAAUAUUACUGCAGUUUCACUAUAUCUGUUUAUUUUGGGCUUACUUUGCUUGCAGAUACUGCAUUUUAUCUGUCUUUGAAUAUAUUCUUUAUGAGAAAAAUAAAUGAAGUACAUAUAAAUGCAAACAAAAUAUAGAAGAGCUACUCAAUUUAGUGAAUAAGUUUACAUAUAUCCACAACUUUUGUGUCCUUCAGUGAAAUGUACAAAUGUUAUUUAUUUUUGUUCUGCAUAGUAAUUGAUCACCAUUUUCACAGCCACCAAGAAGAGGGGAGUGAGGCACAUCCACCCCCACCCCCCAUCAGGGGUUUUCACACCUUCAGUACUCCCUGCACCAGACGCCCCACCCCCACCCUUACCUGCAAGAAAGGUGACAUUGCUUGUAUCAAGGUUUGUGUACUGAUCAUUUGUUUGAUUCUGGUCUCUAAAAGAAAUAAUACACUCUUUACUGCUUCAAUUUUGCAUUUAUAUGUAUUCAUUACAUUUAAUUUACUCUACCUGUGUUUGCUGUAUUUUAUAUUGUUAUAUAUUGUUUUUAAUUUACAAUAUUUGUUGCACUUUUACUUUUUAUUUUACAUUGUUUGCUCAGAAUGUUUGUUUGUUUCUCUUUUUGCACUUUUUUCAAAUAAAGAUACUCCCUGUGAAGAAAGAAA
rnacentral:lncRNA from 1 species